rnacentral:rRNA from 1 species
GAGGAAUAUUGCGCAAUGGAGGCAACUCUGACGCAGCCAUGCCGCGUGCAGGAAGAAGGCGCUACGCGUUGUAAACUGCUUUUAACCGGGAAGAAACCCCAGGACGUGUCCUGGGUUGACGGUACCGGAGGAAUAAGCACCGGCUAACUUCGUGCCAGCAGCCGCGGUAAUACGAAGGGUGCAAGCGUUAUCCGGAUUCAUUGGGUUUAAAGGGUGCGUAGGUGGGGCGGUAAGUCAGUGGUGAAAUCCUGCAGCUCAACUGUAGAAUUGCCAUUGAUACUGCCGCUCUUGAGUACGCUUGACGUGGGCGGAAUGUGCCGUGUAGCGGUGAAAUGCUUAGAUAUGGCACAGAACACCGAUAGUGAAGACAGCUCACGAAGGCGAAACUGACACUGAGGCACGAAAGCGUGGGGAUCGAAC